rnacentral:tRNA from 1 species
GCACGGGCGGUCUGCGCGCAGAGCACGCCGAUGGGUCCGGCGCCGGCGAUCAGGAUCGACGAGCCCGGUUCCACCCCGGCCUUGCGCA